rnacentral:tRNA from 1 species
GGGCGCAUAGCUCAGUUGGUAGAGCAGGUGACUCUUAAUCACCGGGUCCAAGGUUCGAGUCCUUGUGCGCCCACCA